rnacentral:misc_RNA from 1 species
UAGGGAAACCUAAUCCAUUUAAAAAUCAUUUGCAAACACCAAAUAAAUUCUAAUUUGGUCUAUCCUAGGUCGGUCGCAGGUAUUGAUUGAUUCUUUCAAACUAUGAUUGGUUCGCUGAGUGGAAAAAAAAUCACCAACUGACAAGGAGUCAAACUGCUGGGUUCAACCAGCCAGAACCUUGAAAACUGCAUAGUAACGCGAAAAAAAGCAGGCAAACAAAACUGAGUACUGAGUGAUAAGUACCGAGUGAUGAGUGAAAGACUCAAAGCGGAGUAUAAAAGAGUUCAAAACAGCAGAAAAGUUUGCAAGUGGAAACCAAAGAGAAAGU